CUAAAUUUCUUAUCCCGAGUAGCAUGGGGCACGUGAAAUCCCGUGUGAAUCAGCGAGGACCACCUCGUAAGGCUAAAUACUCCUAGGUGACCGAUAGUGAAAUAGUACCGCGAGGGAAAGGUGAAAAAGAACCCCUGUAGGGGAGUGAAAUAGAACAUGAAACCGUAAGCUGUCAAGCAGUGGGAGGGCGAAAAGCCUGACCGCGUGCCUGUUGAAGAAUGAGCCGGCGACUUAUAGGGAGUGGCGUGGUUAAAGAAAACCAUCUGAAGCCAAAGCGAAAGCAAGUCUUAAUAGGGCGCUAAUGUCACUUCUUAUGGACCCGAACCCGGGUGAUCUAACCAUGGCCAGGAUGAAGCUUGGGUAAAACCAAGUGGAGGUCCGAACCGACCGAUGUUGAAAAAUCGGCGGAUGAGCUGUGGUUAGGGGUGAAAUGCCAAUCGAACUCGGAGCUAGCUGGUUCUCCCCGAAAUGCGUUGAGGCGCAGCGGUUGAUGACUUGGGCUAUCUAGGGGUAAAGCACUGUUUCGGUGCGGGCUGCGAGAGCGGUACCAAAUCGUAGCAAACUAAGAAUACUAGAUAUGCUUUCCAUCAACCAGUGAGACGGUGGGGGAUAAGCUUCAUCGUCGAGAGGGAAACAGCCCAGAUCACCAGCUAAGGCCCCUAAAUGACCGCUAAGUGGCAAAGGAGGUAAGAAUGCUGAAACAACCAGGAGGUUUGCUUAGAAGCAGCCACCCUUAAAAGAGUGCGUAAUAGCUCACUGGUGGAGCGUUCUUGCGCCGAAAAUGAACGGGACUAAGCGGUCUGCCGAAGCUGUGGGAUUUUUAAACUAGGCAACGGGUAUACGAACAAAGUUCGUCAACCUUACUAAGGCCGUAGGCCUUAGUUUAGGAGGCUUCUUAAGCGUCUAUGACCCUUAAUGAAGCCGCCCUAUAUUUUUAGUUGAAAAUCGGUAGGGGAGCGUUCCGCUCUAGGGUGAAGCAUAAACGCAAGUUAAUGUGGACAAAGCGGAAGUGAGAAUGUCGGCUUGAGUAACGCAAACAUUGGUGAGAAUCCAAUGCCCCGAAAACCUAAGGUUUCCUUCACUAGGCUCGUCCAUGGAGGGUGAGUCAGGACCUAAGGCAAGGCCGAAAGGCGUAGUCGAUGGAAAACAGGUUAAUAUUCCUGUACUAAUUCUUGAUUAGUACCGAGGGACGAAGAAAGCAAAGGUUAAUCAAAAUUGGAUUUUUGGUGUAAACGUUCAAGGUGUCGAGAGGUAGAAUAAAAACUAACCUUGUUUUCCCUUCGGGAAAAACUGAUACGAUCUUCGAUUGUAUUUGGAGCUGAGACGUGAUACGGAUUGAUUCCCUGGAAUUAGUGUAAGCUAAUUUUAUAGCAAACUUAACUAGUUGUUAAACUUCCUAGAAAAGCUCGAACUACUAAUAAUUAAGAAUUACCUGUACCCCAAACCGACACAGGUAGGUGGGUAGAGUAUACCUAGGGGCGCGAGAUAACUCUCUCUAAGGAACUCGGCAAAAUGGCCCCGUAACUUCGGGAGAAGGGGUGCCUCUAGAAAUAGAGGCCGCAGUGACCAGGCCCAGGCGACUGUUUACCAAAAACACAGGUCUCCGCUAAGUCGUAAGACAAUAUAUGGGGGCUGACGCCUGCCCAGUGCCGGAAGGUGAAGGAAGUUGGUUAUUUUAUUCUUCGGAAUAAGAAAAGCUGACAACCGAAGCCCCGGUGAACGGCGGCCGUAACUAUAACGGUCCUAAGGUAGCGAAAUUCCUUGUCGGGUGAACAAUUGCCCGAAUAAACGUGUAAACGUUUAUUAGUAAACCAACUCAUAACGGUGAACCCUAAAACAUAAGGUCAAGGGAAUACCGCGGGAACCUUUCUAAAGCUCGAACCGUAGCCUGGGAACCUAGGGCUCCCAGGUUUCUAUACAUUUAACAUUUAACAAUUGUAUAGUAAAUUAUGCUUAAGAUUGGACCUGUAACGACUGACUCGAAAGAGGAGGUUUUAAGCAUUAAGCUUAGAACAACACGUUGGCACUUUCCAGUUCGAAAUCAAUCAUGGAGAAGUAUUAUGGAAACUUUAAAUCCGUACUAUGUUUCUGGUUUUGUUGAUGGUGAAGGUUGCUUUUCUGUUUUAUUUGAAAAAAAGCCAAAGUUCAAAACAGGCAUUGAAGUUCGUGCAAGUUUUUCGGUUAGUCAAGGACAAAGUUCAAAGGUUUUAAUUCAAAAACUUUCUUUCUUUUUUCAAACUCCUGAUAAAAAUAUCAGGGUGGAUGGAGACACUUUAAAGUACGAAAGUAGAAAUCUUGAACAUCUUGUUAGUGUGGUACUUCCACACUUUGAGGCCUAUCCUUUACUUUCAAAUAAACAAAAUGACUUCUUAAAAUUUAAAGAAGUUUGUUUAUUAAUGAAGCAACGAAAGCAUUUAACAAAAGCAGGUUUAGAAGAAAUUAUUGAUCUUGCUUAUAGCAUGAAUCUUUAUAUGACUUCUAAAACAAGGCGACAAAGUACAAAAGAAAGUUGGCUUAAACUUCUAGCAGAUAGUAAGUAACUUCGCUAUUUGUUUUGCCUACCAUUGAUGGAAAGUUGAAGGUAUAGUCUGAUCAAUAUGGAAACAUAUUGUUAA
rnacentral:rRNA from 1 species